AGAGCGAACGCUGGCGGCAGGCCUAACACAUGCAAGUCGAGCGCCCGUAGCAAUACGGGAGCGGCAGACGGGAGAGUAACACGUGGGAACGUACCCUUCAGUUCGGAAUAACCCAGGGAAACUUGGACUAAUACCGAAUACGUCCGUAAGGAGAAAGAUUUAUCGCUGAAGGAUCGGCCCGCGUCUGAUUAGCUUGUUGGUGAGGUAACGGCUCACCAAGGCGACGAUCAGUAGCUGGUCUGAGAGGAUGAUCAGCCUCACUGGGACUGAGACACGGCCCAGACUCCUACGGGAGGCAGCAGUGGGAAUAUUGGACAAUGGGCGCAAGCCUGAUCCAGCCAUGCCGCGUGGAUGAUGAAGGCCCUAGGGUUGUAAAGUCCUUUCGGCGGGGAAGAUAAUGACGGUACCCGCAGAAGAAGCCCGGCUAACUCGUGCCAGCAGCCGC
rnacentral:rRNA from 1 species